UGAGCAAUCUGCCCUUCUCUUCGGAAUAAAGCGUUGGAAACGACGUCUAAUGCCGAAUACGACCUCCUUUCGCAUGAUUGGAGGUGGAAAGCUCCGGCGGAGAAGGAUGAGCUCGCGGCCUAUCAGCUAGUUGGUGUGGGUAACGGCCCACCAAGGCGACGACGGGUAGCCGGCCUGAGAGGGUGACCGGCCACACUGGGACUGAGACACGGCCCGGACUCCGUACGGGGGGCAG
rnacentral:rRNA from 1 species